UACGGAGGGUGCAAGCGUUGUCCGGAAUCAUUGGGCGUAAAGGGCGCGUAGGCGGCCGUUCAAGUCGGGGGUGAAAGCCUGUGGCUCAACCACAGAAUGGCCUUCGAUACUGGACGGCUCGAGACCGGAAGAGGUCAGUGGAACUGCGAGUGUAGAGGUGAAAUUCGUAGAUAUUCGCAAGAACACCAGUGGCGAAGGCGGCUGACUGGUCCGGUUCUGACGCUGAGGCGCGAAAGCGUGGGGAGCAAACAGG
rnacentral:rRNA from 1 species